GUCGGGCACGGCGAUGGAUUUCCGCCGGGCCAUUCGGCCGAACCGCCCUCGCAAGGGCCGAUGAUUCCUACCAGGCG
rfam:Sphingomonas sp. Leaf339 scaffold7.1, whole genome shotgun sequence.